AUGGACGCGAGGCAGUCUUUCUAUGGUUGGUUUGCCACUUGUGCAUCCAGAAUCUGCACUUGGAGAAUGUUUUUCACUGACACUCUCAAGCACUUUGGGGAUGUCACUGGCCUUGUCACAAAUUGUUCGAAAAGUCUUGUCACCCCAAUCCGUUGUGAAAAUGUUGAUCUUCCGGACAUCCUCCAAACCUUCCUGGCCAAGCUUUCCUCCUCCCCGAUGAAAUACCUUGGGUUGCCUUUAUCAGUCAAGAGGUUGAAGAGAAUUCACUACCAGCCCCUCGAGGACAAGAUUGCGGGUCAGCUCACCCCUUGGGUGGGAAGGCACAUUGCCUCGGCAGAUUUACCGUUGGAGGUCAAGAAGAAGAUUGAUGCCCUCAGAUGUGCUUUCCUUUGGGUAGGUUGUGAUAAAGUCACAGGUGGAAAAUGCAAGAUAAACUGGGAACAAGUGCGCAAGUCCAAACUGCAUGGAGGCCUGGGAAUCCUAAAUCAUGACAAGGUUGCCAUCGCCCUUCGUCUCCGGUGGCUAUGGGCCGAGUGGCUCCACCCGGACAAGCCAUGGGUUGGCUUGGGAACCCCUUGUGAUGACACCGACCGAAAUAUUUUUGCUGGAGCUACCAAGGUUGAAGUUGGCAAUGGCUUGCAUGCCAAGUUUUGGGAGUCUCCUUGGCUAGAAGGGAUUGGGCCCAAAGACAUGGCCCCUAAAAUAUAUGAAUUGUCGAAGAAGAAGAAUUGCUCAGUUCUAAUGGCUCUGCACGACAACUUUUGGACUUCCCAGGUGGACAUCCUUCGCGGCAUCACUGUCGAACACCUCUCUGAAUUUGUCACCCCUUGGGAGAAGGUCUCCCAUAUCCACCUCGACAUCAACAUGCCCGACACUAUCACUUGGAAGUUCACCAUUGAUGGACACUACUCGGCGACGUCGACCUACAACGCGCAGUUCUUUGGCCGUACUGACACUGAGAUGAUAUCGACCGUUUGGAAGGUUUGGGCGCCUCUUAAAUGCAAGUUCUUCGCUUGGUUGCCAAUCAACAAUAGGAUCUGGACAGCGGAUAGGCUUCAAUGUCAUGGGUGGCCACACAGUAACCUUUGUCCCCUAUGUAAGCAGGUUCAAGAGUCAGCGGCCCACCUUCUAUUCCAAUGCAGAUGCACUAUGAGAGUUUGGCACAUGAUCAAAGAUUGGCUGGGUCUCCAUGAUGUGCAUCCUAGUGAUUGGAGUGACGCGACUUCCGCUAAAGAGUGGUGGAGCCACAAUGAUACCAAGAAGACACAAUCCUCCAAUCCUUCCCGGCCAAGCUUUCCUCCUUUCCGAUGA
rnacentral:rRNA from 1 species